rnacentral:rRNA from 1 species
AAACGUUUGACACCAGUUUUGCGGAUGGGAAAUCAGUCGCGUUGCAGUGGGGAGUGGUUAUGAGUUCAGACCGCAAGGCUGGCUCUGAUCUCAUCCUUGCUGUGGGUGAUGCACUUUUUCAUUUGCAGGUCAACAUCAGUUUCUUCUGCUGGACAAAACCCUAAGAGAAUGUGGCAGCUUUGGCUGUGUUAUAGCUCUGGGGCGAUACAGUGGUCGGGACUGAGGUUUCGCAGUGUGUGCUCUCGGGCAAGGCUGACUAGGUGCUAUGGGGUGGUUCGGUGUACAAUGCAUGCAUUUUGCGCCGUGUCUGUUCUGUACUCGCUUGUCUCAGCUCUUCCACGCUUAGGAUGUUGACAUAAUGGUUUUAAACGA